rnacentral:rRNA from 1 species
GACGAAGGAUGCAAGCGUUAUCCGGAUUCAUUGGGUUUAAAGGGCGCGUAGGCGGAUUGGUAAGUCAGUGGUGAAAUCUGUGGGCUUAACCCACAAACUGCCAUUGAUACUGCUGAUCUAGAGUACAGUUGCCGUUGGCGGAAUAUGACAUGUAGUGGUGAAAUACUUAGAUAUGUCAUAGAACACCGAUUGCGAAGGCAGCUAACGAAGCUGUAACUGACGCUGAGGCUCGAAAGUGCGGGGAUCAAACAGG